GAUGAACGCUGGCGGCGUGCUUAACACAUGCAAGUCGAACGGAAAGGCCCAAGCUUGCUUGGGUACUCGAGUGGCGAACGGGUGAGUAACACGUGGGUGAUCUGCCCUGCACUUCGGGAUAAGCCUGGGAAACUGGGUCUAAUACCGGAUAGGACGAUGGUUUGGAUGCCAUUGUGGAAAGUUUUUUCGGUGUGGGAUGAGCUCGCGGCCUAUCAGCUUGUUGGUGGGGUAAUGGCCUACCAAGGCGUCGACGGGUAGCCGGCCUGAGAGGGUGUACGGCCACAUUGGGACUGAGAUACGGCCCAGACUCCUACGGGAGGCAGCAGUGGGGAAUAUUGCACAAUGGGCGCAAGCCUGAUGCGGCGACGCCGCGUGGGGGAUGACGGCCUUCGGGUUGUAAACUCCUUUCGCUAGGGACGAAGCGUUUUUGUGACGGUACCUGGAGAAGAAGCACCGGCUAACUACGUG
rnacentral:rRNA from 1 species